rnacentral:sRNA from 1 species
GCGCGGUAAGACUUGGCGAAGUGGAUA